GGGAAUUCUCCCGUACACACUUAAAUGCAUAAUUCCAGCUCGGUAAUCUUUUUUACUGGUUUCAUUCUGUAAAAAUAAUUUAAUACCGUGAGCUCAGUUAAAUGUUGAGAAACUACCGACAUCAGCAAUAUUGUUAACUGAUCCCUUUGUAAAAUGAAACGUCAAAAAUAAAUACUACCGAGCUCCUCGGUUUUCAACGAACUUUGUAUAUUUUUCACCGUAUUCUGUAAUUCAUCUUACCAGUGUCGUUAAACUUUGUACCGAGCUUUCAGUUAGCAUUAUUCUGACGUGAUACCUGAUGAAGUGAUAAGACGCCAUUUUUCCAUAGAACUUCACGUGUUGGAAUCAAAUGAAUGAGCAGAAACAAUUAUUUAUUGGAACAAAAUCAAGUGAAAUUGCGGUUGUAUGUGCAUUUCCUUCACGAAGAAAAUUGUCUCGAGAUGGAAUCUAUUCGUUCAAAGGGCGUUACGCCCUGCAGCGGAUUUCGUAUCAGUGCGUUUUCAAAGCGACGGUGUUUCCGGUGGAAAUUUUUCUAUGCUGAGCCCCUCUUAAAUAAAGUUUAUACAAAGAAAACAAAGUGCAUAUAUGAAUGAUUGAAGAAAAUAAAAGUAUUUCAUUUUAUUGGCA